rnacentral:hammerhead_ribozyme from 1 species
AUCCAGCUGACGAGUCCCGAAUAGGACGAAACGCGCGUGCUGGAU